UACGUAGGGUGCGAGCGUUAAUCGGAAUUACUGGGCGUAAAGCGUGCGCAGGCGGCGCGUUAAGUCAGGUGUGAAAGCCCCGGGCUCAACCUGGGAACCGCGCUUGAGACUGGCACGCUCGAGUUCGGGAGAGGAUGGUGGAAUUCCCAGUGUAGAGGUGAAAUUCGUAGAUAUUGGGAAGAACACCGAUGGCGAAGGCAGCCAUCUGGACCGACACUGACGCUGAGGCGCGAAAGCGUGGGGAGCAAACAGG
rnacentral:rRNA from 1 species